rnacentral:rRNA from 1 species
CCUACGGGUGGCUGCAGUGGGGAAUAUUGGACAAUGGGGGGAACCCUGAUCCAGCCAUGCCGCGUGUGUGAAGAAGGCCCUCGGGUUGUAAAGCACUUCAGUGAGGAAGAACGCCUGGUGGUUAAUACCCAUCAGGAAAGACAUCACUCACAGAAGAAGCACCGGCUAACUCCGUGCCAGCAGCCGCGGUAAUACGGAGGGUGCGAGCGUUAAUCGGAAUUACUGGGCGUAAAGCGCGCGUAGGUGGCUUGAUAAGCCGGUUGUGAAAGCCCCGGGCUCAACCUGGGAACGGCAUCCGGAACUGUCCAGCUAGAGUGCAGGAGAGGAAGGUAGAAUUCCCGGUGUAGCGGUGAAAUGCGUAGAGAUCGGGAGGAAUACCAGUGGCGAAGGCGGCCUUCUGGACUGACACUGACACUGAGGUGCGAAAGCGUGGGUAGCAAACAGGAUUAGAUACCCUGGUAGUC